CUCUUUUUGAUUAUAAUUUAAAGUUGGGCCUGCCCACUGAUUAUUUGAAGGGCCGCAGUAUUUUGACUGUGCAAAGGUAGCAUAAUCAUUAGUUUUUUAAUUGAAAGCUUGUAUGAAUGGUUUGAUGAAAAAAUGACUGUUUCAAUUUAAAUAAAAAGAAUUUUAUUUUUAAGUAAAAAAGCUUAAAUUUAAUUUAAAGACGAGAAGACCCUAUAGAGUUUUACUAAACUUAAAAUUUUUAUUUUUGGGAUUUUUCAUUAAAAAUUUUAAUUAAGUUUUGUUGGGGUGACAAAAAAAUUAAAUUAACUUUUUUUAUAUUAAAAUACUAAUUAGUAAAUUAUUGAUCUUUAAGUUAUGAUUAUAAGAUUAAAUUACCUUAGGGAUAACAGCGUAAUUUUUUUUGAAAGUUCUUAUUGAAAAAAGGGAUUGCGACCUCGAUGUUGGAUUAAAAUUAAUUUUUGGUGGAGAAGCUAGAAAAUUAGGUCUGUUCGACCUUUGAAAUUUUACAUGAUCUGAGUUU
rnacentral:rRNA from 1 species